GGGGAAUAUUGCACAAUGGGGGAAACCCUGAUGCAGCGACGCCGCGUGAAGGAAGAAGUAUCUCGGUAUGUAAACUUCUAUCAGCAGGGAAGAUAAUGACGGUACCUGACUAAGAAGCCCCGGCUAACUACGUGCCAGCAGCCGCGGUAAUACGUAGGGGGCAAGCGUUAUCCGGAUUUACUGGGUGCAAAGGGAGCGUAGACGGCGCAGCAAGUCUGAUGUGAAAGGCAGGGGCUUAACCCCUGGACUGCAUUGGAAACUGCUGGGCUUGAGUGCCGGAGGGGUAAGCGGAAUUCCUAGUGUAGCGGUGAAAUGCGUAGAUAUUAGGAGGAACACCAGUGGCGAAGGCGGCUUACUGGACGGUAACUGACGUUGAGGCGCGAAAGCGUGGGGAGCAAAC
rnacentral:rRNA from 1 species